rnacentral:lncRNA from 1 species
GGUCAGCUCUACUCUGCUGCCCAGGUGAGGGACAGAUGCUUGAGUGCUGCAGCAGGUCAAGGUCAGGGCCAUCUCUCCUGCUUUGAUGACCUCAGGGCAUUUUUAUGAGGAGGAGGAAGAGGAUGAUGAUCUUGUAUGUGCAUAUUGGCCAUUGAUAUACCACUUUGCUAAAAUGUACAUUUAAAGUCUUUGUCCUUGUCUGGUUCUUAACUGACUUUGUCUUUUUUUGCUGAUUGUGGAAAUUUUAUUUGUAUUCUUCAUACUGAAUACUUCCUUGAGAUAGGAUCAUGCUGUAUAGCAUGGACUGGCUUGGAACUUGUGUUGCUUGAACUAGUCUGGGAUUUGUGAGUUUCUUAACCUCCCAAGUGCUAGGAUUACAGGUAUGUGCUGCUACCAUUACACCUGAUCUCUGGCUGUUGAACUCCUCACAGGUGAUUUGCAGAUAUUUUUUCCCAUGCCUGGGCUAUAGUUUUAUACUUGUGAACAUAUCUUUUGAUGCACAGAAGCUUAGAAUUUUUGUUUUGGUUUUGUACUAAGUUCAAGAGAAACUUUUCCCUCAUUUUUAAAAAUUACGUGUGUGUGUGUGUGUGUGUGUGUGUGUGUGUGUGUGUGUGUCUGUAAGAGAGAGAGAGUCAGUCAAGUGUUUUGAGUAUAUAUGUAUAUAUAUAUAAUUUACUUUGUGUGUGUGUGUGUGUGUGUGUGUGUGUAAGAGAGAGAGAGGGAGAGAGAGGAGUGUGUGUGUGUGUGUGUGUGUGUGUGUGUGAGUGUGUGUGUGAGUCAAGUGUUUUGAGUGUGCAUAUGUGUAUAGGGUACAUGUGAAGAUCAGAGGUUGGCUUUGUUCUGUGGUAGGAUUCCAGGACUGAAUUCAGGCCUUCCAUCAAGUGCUUUUAUUUACUCACUAGUUCCCAGAGAAGCUGUAAGUUACAGUCUGAGAUUGUCCCAGUUGCUUAUUUCCUAUUCACUUUGUGUCUGUAUGUUGGUUGUUAUUUUUUCCCUUCCUUACUUCAAGGGAGUAGUUUUUGUUUUUGUGCCAGGAUGCCUGGCUGAAAAUUUCCUCUUUAAGAUAAUUUAAAAUGGGAAUGGAGAGAUGGCUCAAUGGCUAAGAACACUGUUUUAUUCAGGAAGACCAGAUUCAAUUCCCAGAACCCACAUGAUGACUUACAUCUGCCUGUAAAUCCAGUUCCAGGGGAUCUGACAUCCGCUUUGGCCUCUUGAGUGCACCUGGCACACAUGAUGCUUAUUAUAUAUGUGAAGGCAAGACAACCAUAUAC